rnacentral:rRNA from 1 species
GACGAACGCUGGCGGCGUGCUUAACACAUGCAAGUCGAACGGAAAGGCCUGCUUUCCCUUGUGGAUUGCGGGUACUCGAGUGGCGAACGGGUGAGUAACACGUGAGUGAUCUGCCCCCAACUUGGGUAUAAGCCUGGGAAACUGGGUCUAAUUCCCGAUAGGACUGCAGGGUGGUGCCUGUGGUGGCAAACGAUUUUCUAGUGGUUGGGGAUGAGCUCGCGGCCUAUCAGCUUGUUGGUGGGGUAAUGGCCUACCAAGGCGGCGACGGGUAGCCGGCCGGGGAGGGUGGACGGCGACAUUGGGACUGGGUUACGGCCCAGACGCCUACGGGAGGCAGCAGUGGGGAAUAUUGCACAAUGGGCGGAAGCCUGAUGCAGCGACGCAGCGUGGGGGAUGACGGCCUUCGGGUUGUAAACUCCUUGCGACCGCGAGGAAGCCACCUGGUUGGAAGGGUGGUGACGGUAGUGGUAGAAGAAGCACCGGCUAACUACGUG